AAUGGCAGUGAAGGGGAGUUCUGCUCAAAUGAACUGCACACACAAAAAGGAUUUUACAUUCACUCAGAUGUACUGGUAUCGACAACGGCGAGGACAAACUAUGACUCUUAUUGUGUUCACAAGUUCUGUGAGCGAUCCAGACUAUGGAGAUUCUGAUCCAGUCAAAUUCACAGCCAAUAAACCAGUUCCCGAGAGAGGAUCUCUGACUGUGAACAAUGUGGAGUCAGAUGAUAGUGCCGUGUAUCUCGGCUCGGUCACACAGAACAGUGAAGUGAACUUUAACAAGAGUUCAUCAAGAACAGCUUCCGCUAAUAAUGACAGUGAUCAACAGGGGGCGAUGUGACUCUACAAAUCUGCAGCUUGUUCAUAUAAAUAUAUAUCCUGUAUUAUCCUCUCAAGACCACGAUUCAAUGCACUCCUAGCCAUCGCUGAACAUGAUCAUUGUUCUGCUAAUCCUGUCACUGUGUUGGAGUCAAUGUGCUUCAAGUGGAGAUGGUGUUUCCCAGCCUGGCAGUGUUUGGACUCUCGAGGGGAAAUCUGCCCAGAUAAACUGCUCACACAAUAAGGGUCUGGACUAUAAUCAGAUGUACUGGUACCAGCAGCGAAAAGGAGAGAGUUUCAGACUCAUAGUGUUCACAACAAGCUAUGGGGAACCAGACUUUGGAGAUUCUGAUCAAACUAAAUUUGAAGCUCAUAAAAGUGUUCCUGAGAGCGGAUCUCUCACUGUGAGGAACGCACAGCCAGAUGAUAGUGCCAUAUAUUUCUGUUCAGUGAGCAAACACAGUGUGUCAAACACUGAAGGCAGAUGUACAAAAACACCUUGUACAGAUCAUAUCAAUAUACCAUCCAAAAGGCGGCGCUCUGGUACAGUUAAACAGCAGUCUGACAUACAAUAUCUUGUGGAGUGAAAGCUAAUGCUUUUCCUAUCCAUUUAAGAUACUAGUAUAUACUACUCAUGCUAUGUGCACCAUAUCUCUCUAUGGCAGAAAUAAUAAGAGUAUGUGGAUCUGAAUUCAGAAAUGCAUAGAGAAAACAAAGCCUAGAUGACAUCACUUCCUUCAUCGCCUGCAUUUAA